rnacentral:rRNA from 1 species
GACGGACGCUGGCGGCGUGCUUAACACAUGCAAGUCGAACGGAAAGGCCCCAGCUUGCUGGGGUACUCGAGUGGCGAACGGGUGAGUAACACGUGGGUGAUCUGCCCUGCACUCUGGGAUAAGCCUGGGAAACUGGGUCUAAUACCGGAUAGGACCGUGCUUUAGUGUGUGCGGUGGAAAGUUUUUCGGUGCAGGAUGAGCCCGCGGCCUAUCAGCUUGUUGGUGGGGUAAUGGCCUACCAAGGCGGCGACGGGUAGCCGGCCUGAGAGGGUGUACGGCCACAUUGGGACUGAGACACGGCCCAGACUCCUACGGGAGGCAGCAGUGGGGAAUAUUGCACAAUGGGCGCAAGCCUGAUGCAGCGACGCCGCGUGGGGGAUGACGGCUUUCGGGUUGUAAACCCCUUUCGGCAGGGACGAAGCUUUUGUGACGGUACCUGCAUAAGAAGCACCGGCUAACUACGUG